rnacentral:lncRNA from 1 species
GAGAGGCUAUGAGGGGAGGAGAUGCAGCAGGUGGCUGUUCCUCAGCUCUGUCCCUACUGUGGUGAACGGAAUAAGAAAACAACAACAACCAAAAACAUCAGGCCCAUAGCAAGCUUCGCUGGCUUAUGGGGCACCUUCAUGAGAAUUAGAAAAUGUCAAGGUACCUACUCUGGGUACCUUGCUUGGCCAGUGAAGGUGCCCAGAGCUUGGCAGGCUCAGUACAAGCAUGGCUUCAGUCUGCACUGUCUUUUCUGCCUCUUGUCUUAUUCAGUGAGCAGCCCACACAGUGGUGACUGGCAGUCCUGAUGACUGAUCUCAAACACUAAGGAAGAAAAAAGGCAUAAGUGAAGAACUAAGUCGAGGGGGUGUCUCCUCUUGGUUAUGGCUGCAGUGCCCGAUGGAUAAAGGUAAAGAGAACUCUAGAAAGUGUUGCUGUUAGACGACUACUUUUAUUUUAUUUUAUUAUUUUUUUUUCAGCUUGCUUUCUCUACUUACUCUAGGAUCCAAACCCGAGGGGCUGGUGUGUCUUCCCACCUCAAGGGCAUCAUCAAGCCAGGUGGUGGUGGUGCAUGCCUUUAAUCCCAGCACUUGGGAGGCAGAGGCAGGAAGAUUUCUGAGUUUGAGGCCAGUCUGGUCUACAAAGUGAGUUCCAGGACAGCCAGGGCUACACAGAGAAACCCUGUUUCGCAAAAUUAAAAAAAAAAAAAAAAAAAAACCAAACCCAAA